UCUGUUUCCAGCCCUAUCAAGUCCAGUCAGUGGCAAUUUUUCCCCUCCCAUCACUUGUGCACCAUCCACUCCAUCAAAGUCAAAUUCCUCUGGCAGUGAGAAGGAUCCAGCUCCACUCUUGGAGCACUGGAGAUUGGGCUGCCCCUGCUUCCAAGGAUACUCCCCCAGUUUGUCUCUCCCUGAUGCCGCAGCCUGGAGACAAGUGAUUUCUGCAAGGAGGCUGUGCAAACAGCGCGUGUGGAAAGCAGGGCAGGAGGUGGCCAGGAGCAACAGGAACAUCCAGAACCCGCUCCUGACUCCCUCGUUGGGCUUUCCGUUGGGUUCUGCCCUGUUCCAUUCCAGGGGGAAGCUGUUCCCAGGCUCUGGAGGUGCAGAAAAUAAACGCAGGAGCAGCUCUGCUGGCUGAGCUAAUGACAGAGCUGAGGAAGUGUCAACACCGAAAUCGCUCAGGGUGGCAGCAAUGAUGUUCACAGGGACAUGGGAGCCACAGAAAAUACUCUCCUCAAGGCUGCUUGCCCCUGACUAAACUGUGUUUGCAGCAGGAAAAGCCAAAACCUUGCCCAGAGGCAGCGCAGUGCUCCAGGGGCCGACAUCACCAAUGGUGGAGUCCAACCCAAUUCUUGAUGGCUCCGUGUGUCAUUUUCAUUCUUGGCAGGGAGAGUUCAUCUUCUGUGACUUCACCUUCCAUAAAGUUUGAGUGGAAUUCACCUAAAACGCCCGUGAACUCCGUGGAGGGAGGUUGGCAGUGAUGAGCAGUUCCUCUGAGGUCCCUUGGACACCUGAGUUUGGGAUGAAUCACCCUCUGGAGAGGAAACGGCCUCGAGCUGAGCCAGGGCAGGCUGAGAUUGGAUAGUAGGAAAAAUUUUCUUCAUGGAAAGGGUUAUCAAGUGUUGGGACUGGCUGCCCAGGGAAUGGUGAAGUCACCAUCCCUGCAGAGAUUUAAAAACGUGUGGAUGUGGCACGUUGGGUAGUGGUGGGCUUGGCAGUGCUGGGGAAUGGGUGGUCUUGGAGGUCCUUUCCAAUCUUAAUAAUUCUAUGGCAUGCCAAUUUUUCUUCAGGGCUUGCAGAGAUACUGAUUCUUUUCCAAUCCAUGUGUGAAAUGUUAGUUUAGGAUGGUGAAAAUCAGGGACACUGAGUGAUGGGCUCUUGAUGCAACCUCGUGGUUCUCUGACAAAAUCUGGAUGAACGUGUGGAAACCACUCAUCCCAAGGGCAGUGAGGGGGAAAAACUGGAAGUUUGAUUAUUUUAUGAUUUUUUCCCCAUGUUUUGGUUCUCUGGACAGCAUAUUCCAAAGCUGUGUUUUCCAGUUUUUAUUCAGUGUUGGAUAGAUCAACAGUUUGGAGGAAUUUGGGAUGGAUUGUUCCAAAAUGGAGCAGAGCUCAGCCCAGACUCUCGCAGUUAUUUGAGUUUGGAUUUUCCUGUGUAAGCCCAGCCUUGGAAAAGCUUGCUAUCUUUGUAGGAAAUAAUUGCAAAAAGAACAUUUCUUUGCCUUAGAGUGAAACACUGCUAAAAUCUCACCUGUGGAACACAAUAUAAAUUCAUUAAAGUCCUGUCUUAAUUUUGGUGAGUGA